rnacentral:rRNA from 1 species
UACAGAGACUGCAAGCGUUAUUCGGAUUCACUGGGCGUAAAGGGUGCGCAGGCGGCCAAGUGUGUUAGGCGUGAAAGCCCGGGGCUUAACCCCGGAAUUGCACCUAAAACUACAUGGCUAGAGCAUUGGAGAGGGUAGCGGAAUUCACGGUGUAGCAGUGAAAUGCGUAGAUAUCGUGAGGAACACCAGAGGCGAAGGCGGCUACCUGGACAAUUGCUGACGCUCAGGCGCGAAAGCGUGGGGAGCAAAAGGG